GCAUCGAGUCUCAAUUUCCAUUUAGGAAAAGAGUCGGAAAUCAAGAUAUUUGAGUGUGAAUCUCUGCUCGAUGGUCAUUCCUUUUCAACCACCUUAUAUACACAUACAAUUCAAUAUAAGCAAUUACAUACAAAAGGAAUAUUCUAGUCCUACCAACAAAGUUCUGCCAAGUGGAUAACAAUUUAUAUUCUCACUCCUAAAAAUCAGGAACUGUGCUGCCUCGCACCAUGGAUGUUGCUAGCUAGUUAAUUGUUCUUUUUCAAUUGGUUGAGUGACUCCAACACCCCCUUCCCCCCUUCAAGGUGGAGAGUGUCUAUACCACUCCAAGCUAGUCUCUAAGGAGUAAGAACCUUGAGUGAGAGAGAGAGGUUUUGUCAACAAAUCUGCUGUCCGAUUUGAUGAUGGAAUAUAAUGUAUUUCCAAUUCUCCUCUUAGAAUUUUAUCUCAACAUCAAGUUCUAUAUGCUUGGUGUGUGCAUGACAGAUCAGAAUUUGAGACCAAAGCACUUGCACUUAGAUUGUCACACCAAAUUCUUGGAACUAUCUUUUAUGAAAUUUUAAACUCUCCCAUUAAGGACUGAAUCCAAGUAAUUUCUGAUGCAUAGUGGGCCAAUGCUUUGUAUUCAGCCUCUGUGCUUGACCUUGCAACAACAUGCUGUUUCUUAGAGCACCACGACACCAAGUUAUCUCUAAGAUAUACACAAUAACCGGUAGUGGACCUUUUGUCAUCUGGAAAUGAUGCCCAGUUAGAAUUUGCAAAUGCUGUUAUGUUUAAGCUGUCAGUUUUCCAGAUAGCAAGACCAUGAUUUGGUGUACCUUUCAAGUGUCUAAACACUCAAGUUGCCUUCCAAUGAGCAUCUGUGGGUGAUUGAAGAAACUGGCUCAUUCUAUUCACCGUGUAAGUAAUGUUAGGUCUUGUUGGAGCUAAGUAUUGAAGACCCCCAAUUGCACUUCUGUAUAGAGUUGGAUCCUUCAUGAUCAGUCCUUUAGUCUUCGAGAUCAAUUUGCCCACUGCCAUAGGUGUUGGACUUGGUUUUAAGUUCUCAUAGCCAAACUUCUUAAUCAAAUCAGCAACAUACUUUGUUUGAGUCAAGUACAAGCUAGUUGUAUCUCUAAGCUCCUCCAUACCUAGAAAUGGAUUGAGGUUUUCCAUGUCCUUUAGAGCAAAACAUGUGUUCAAGUUGUUAAUGAAAUCGUACAAUUAUUAAUUCUUAUUCUCUGUUAUUAUUAUGUCAUCCACAUAAUUUAGUGCAAACAACAUAUCUUUCCCAUCAAACAAGAAGAACAGUGAAUUAUCUACCUUAGACUAUUUAAAAUUCCAUUUCGGCAAAAUGUUUUUCAGGUCCUCAUGCCAUGCUUUUGGUACUUGCUUUAGUCCAUACAAAGCCUUUUUCAAUUUGCACAAAAACUUAGGAUCCCUUGUGGCUGAUUUAUGUAUACUACCUCAUUUAGCUUGCCAUUCAAGAAUGUAUUAAUAACAUCUACCUAUCUGAUCUACCAAUCUUCAAGGUUGAUGCCAUGAUAACAAGGCUGAAGGUUUCAUUAAAGUCUAUUACAGGUGUUUGGAGAAACCCUUUAGCAACAAGCCUUGCUUUGUGCCUUUGUACUCUGCCUUCUGAGCCAUACUUCGAUCUAAAUACCUAUUUAUUGCCAAUUAUUUUCAUUCCAGUCCUAGGAGGUACCAAAGUCCAUUUUUUAUUUUUCAUCUAGGCAUCAUACUCUUCUUGCAUUGCCUUCUUCUAGCUAUCACUCAUCAAAGCAUCAUCAAUGGUGUGUGGUUCAGCUUCUAUUGAUAUGUUUAGCACCUGACUUGUGUAGAUUUUUAGUUUGAAAAUUCCUGCUUUGCUUCCAAUAACCAUGUGAUGUCCAACACCAUGUGUGCAUUUUGGUCGUAGUUGUUUAUAUCAUUUCUAGUAUCCUCAGCACCACAACCAUCUUGUUGGCUACUAACUAUCUCAUGGUCAUCUAAUACUUCUUGAUUUAUCUAAGCAUCAUUAUUUCCUUUGAUUGAGACAUUAUCCUUUAAUUGGACUCAACAUGAAAUGGAAGAAGACUUAUAGCUAUUUCAGAAGUUUGUGGCUAGACCAAUUUGAUUAGGAAACCAAUUUUAAAGGGAAAAAAGUUCUUAUUCAUUGAAUACCACAUGCCUAGAUAUGUAGAUUCUACCACUUGAACGUAGGCACUUAUAACCUUUGUGUGAGUCACUAUAGCCAAUGAGUACACACUUUUGAGAAUGGAAGUUGAACUUGUGCUUUUGGUGAGGUCUAAGGUAAGGAUAACAUGCACAACCAAAUAUUUUCAGCAUUCUGUAAUCAAAAUUUGUUCUAUACAGGCUUGGAAAGGUGAUUUGUUUUGUAAUACAAGAGUAGGAAGUCAGUUUAUUAAAUAGGCUGAUAUUUUGAAUGACUCUCACCAGUAGUAUAAGGGCAUUUGAGUUUGAGCUAAAAGCAUUAGCCCAGUUUCUAUAAUGUGUCUAUGUUUCCUAUCAACUUUAUCGUUUUGCUCAGAGCUAUAUAGACAAGAGUAUCUAAGUUCAAUUCCUAAUUCUAAUGCAAUUUUGUUAAAGCUUCUAAACUCUUCUCCUCAGUCGGAUUGAAGUAUUUUGAUCUUUCUUUCCAACUGGUUUUCCACUAUUAUUUUGAAUUGGAUAAAGAUACUUAGUGCCACAGAUUUAUUUUUCAUAGGAUGGAUCCAAGUAAAUCUACUAUGGUCAUCCACAAAGAUUAUAUAGUACCUAAAGCUCGAGGUAGAAUUCUUUGGUGUUGUUUCCCAAACAUCAGUGUGUACAAGAUCCAAACGGUUUGAUGCAUGUGAGGAUGAUGCAUUAAAGGGCAAUGCACGAGAUUUUCCAAAUUGAUAGGAUCACAGAAAAGUGGAUUUUCAUUAGCUUUAACAGACUUAUUAUAGGACUUUAGGACUUGACUCAACACAUGAUUUGAAGGAUGGCCUAAUCUCCUAUGCCAAACAUCAAGUUCUGACUCUAUUCACUUGACACUUUUGGGUGACUCCACAAGUGAAGUUUACUGAGAAACAGUUGGAAUUAUUUUGAUGAUCCGACUCUUUGGUUGUGAGCUUGGAUUUGGGAUUUGGCAACUUCAGUUGAUAUAACUCAUCCUUAAGCAUUCUUUACAGCAAUAUCCUCCUUGUUUGUAGAUCCUUAACAACACAACCAUCGGGGAAAAUUUCCAUAAAUACAUUGUUAUCAUUUGUAAGCUGAGAGACACUAAUUAGGUUCUUCUUAAUUGUGGGAACAUUCAACAAUCUAUUAAGUGCAAGAGUUUAUUAUUCAUUGUGGUAAUAUUUCCUUUUCAAACGUGUGCAAUAUGAAAAGAAUUUUCUUCACCAACUAGCAAUUUUUCAUUACCUUCAUACUUCUUAAGGAUUUUCAAAUUCCCUUUGCCAACCAUCACAUGGUUGCUUGCACCACAAUCUGCAUAUUAGGCUGGAUCUUCAAGAGUUCUUGGUGAGGCAACAUAAGCAGUGGGAGCUGAGAUAUUGUUUUGAUGAUUUUGAUAGUUGGGUCUGUUGCCCAUGUAUUUGUUAUCAUAUCUAUUAAAGCACUAGCUAGCUGAAUGAUUGGUAAGUCCACAAAUUUGACAAAGUCCUCUGUUUUCAUUCAGUCUUCUAACUCUGCCCCUUCCUCUUGUUCUAUCUCUAAAAUUCAAGGAUCUGCCACUGUUAGUUCCUCUAAAGGUUCUACCACCACUUGAACCAGUUCUUUGGGCAAGCUGUACACUCGACUGUCCAAUAUUUACUGAUUCAAAAUUGUUCCUGACUUGACUCAAAUACUCAAGUCUACUUUCAAAUGUCAUUAGCACUGAUGAUAGUUGUUCGCAAAAUAUUUCUUUCGAUUUAA
rnacentral:lncRNA from 1 species